UACAGAGGUGGCAAGCGUUGUUCGGAAUUACUGGGCGUAAAGGGCGCGUAGGCGGCCUUCUAAGUCAGACGUGAAAUCCCCCGGCUUAACCUGGGAACUGCGUCUGAUACUGGGAGGCUAGAGUAUGGGAGAGGGAUGUAGAAUUCCAGGUGUAGCGGUGAAAUGCGUAGAUAUCUGGAGGAAUACCGGUGGCGAAGGCGGCAUCCUGGACCAUUACUGACGCUGAGGCGCGAAAGCGUGGGGAGCGAACGGG
rnacentral:rRNA from 1 species